UACGUAGGCAGCAAGCGUUGUUCGGAAUUACUGGGCGUAAAGAGUGUGUAGGCGGUGCUCUAAGUUUGGUGUGAAAUCUCCCGGCUCAACUGGGAGGGUGCGCCGAAUACUGAAUGACUAGAGUGCGGGAGAGGAGAGUGGAAUUCCUGGUGUAGCGGUGAAAUGCGUAGAUAUCAGGAGGAACACCGGUGGUGUAGACGGCUCUCUGGACCGUAA
rnacentral:rRNA from 1 species